rnacentral:sRNA from 1 species
AUCGGCCUUGCUGGUGAGCGUCUGAGGAUGUUCGCGGGGCCGCAAGUCGCUUGAGACUUUUGACCACGGAUGUACUGGCACUGGAAUUGAAGCGAUGUGAGGAAGGUCGGGUUUGCCCGGCCUUUUUUGUU